GCGCCCGUAGCUCAACCGGAUAGAGCACCGGCCUUCUAAGCCGGGGGUCGUGAGUUCGAGUCUCGCCGGGCGCGCCA
rnacentral:tRNA from 22 species